rnacentral:rRNA from 1 species
AGAGUUUGAUCCUGGCUCAGGACGAACGCUGGCGGCGUGCUUAACACAUGCAAGUCGAACGGAAAGGCUCCAGCUUGCUGGAGUACUCGAGUGGCGAACGGGUGAGUAACACGUGGGUGAUCUGCCCUGCACUUCGGGAUAAGCCUGGGAAACUGGGUCUAAUACCGGAUAGGAGCGCCUGUCGCAUGACGGGUGUUGGAAAGAUUUUUCGGUCAUGGAUGGACUCGCGGCCUAUCAGCUUGUUGGUGAGGUAAUGGCUCACCAAGGCGACGACGGGUAGCCGGCCUGAGAGGGUGACCGGCCACACUGGGACUGAGACACGGCCCAGACUCCUACGGGAGGCAGCAGUGGGGAAUAUUGCACAAUGGGCGGAAGCCUGAUGCAGCGACGCCGCGUGAGGGAUGACGGCCUUCGGGUUGUAAACCGCUUUCGCCUGUGACGAAGCGUGAGUGACGGUAAUGGGUAAAGAAGCACCGGCUAACUACGUGCCAGCAGCCGCGGUGAUACGUAGGGUGCGAGCGUUGUCCGGAUUUAUUGGGCGUAAAGGGCUCGUAGGUGGUUGAUCGCGUCGGAAGUGUAAUCUUGGGGCUUAACCCUGAGCGUGCUUUCGAUACGGGUUGACUUGAGGAAGGUAGGGGAGAAUGGAAUUCCUGGUGGAGCGGUGGAAUGCGCAGAUAUCAGGAGGAACACCGAUGGCGAAGGCAGGUUACUGGGCAGUUACUGACGCUGAGGAGCGAAAGCAUGGGGAGCGAACAGGAUUAGAUACCCUGGUAGUCCACGCCGUAAACGUUGGGCGCUAGGUGUGGGAUCCUUCCACGGAUUCCGUGCCGCAGCUAACGCAUUAAGCGCCC